UGUACAGGAGUCGUUGAUGUACAGUCUGACCUGCUCUCUGAAAUUUUUAAAGGGCCGCGGUAUUUGGACCGUGCUAAGGUAGCAUAAUAAAUAGUCUUUUAAUUGAAGUCUAGUAUGAAUGGUUGGACAUGAGGAAAGCUGUUUUAAUUAUAAAGUUUGAAUUUUACUUUUAAGUGAAAAGGCUUAAAUUGUAUGGUGGGACGAUAAGACCCUAUAAAGUUUUAUAUUUUAUUUGUUGGUUAUAGUGUAUAAGGUAUGCUAUUCUUAUGUAAUAAAAUAUUUCGUUGGGGCGACGGGAAUAUAAAAUAUUAACUGUUUUUAUUUAAAAAAUAAAAUUUUUUAGGUGAGUUGAUCCUGAAUAGAGAUUAAAAGAAUUAAGUUACUUUAGGGAUAACAGCGUAAUUUUUCUUGAGAGUUCAUAUCGACAGAUAUAGUUGCGACCUCGAUGUUGAAUUAAAAUAUCUCCAAGAUGCAGCAGUUUUGGUGGUGGGUCUGUUCGACCUUUAAAAUUUUACAUGAUUUGAGUUCAGACCGGCGUG
rnacentral:rRNA from 1 species